CUCAGUUCGGAUCGGAGUCUGCAACCCGACUCCGUGAAGCUGGAUUCGCCAGUAAUCGCGCAUCAGCCAUGGCGCGGUGAAUACGUUCCCGGGCCUUGUACACACCGCCCGUCAAGCCAUGGAAGCCGGGGGCGCUUGAAGUGCGUUGCCGCAAGGCGCGCCCUAGAGCGAAACCGGUGACUGGGGCUAAGUCGUAACAAGGUAAC
rnacentral:rRNA from 1 species